rnacentral:misc_RNA from 1 species
AAGGAGUCUAACAUAUAUGCGAGUAUUUGAGUGGUAAACUCUUAUGCGUAAUGAAAGUGAAAAGGUGGGAUCUGUAAAAAGUGCACCAUCGACCGAUCUGGAUCUUUAGUGAUGGAUUUGAGUAAGAGCAUAUAUGUUGGGACCCGAAAGAUGGUGAACUAUGCCUGAAUAGGGCGAAGCCAGAGGAAACUCUGGUGGAGGCUCGUAGCGAUUCUGACGUGCAAAUCGAUCGUCAAAUUUGGGUAUAGGGGCGAAAGACUAAUCGAACCAUCUAGUAGCUGGUUCCUGC